GGCGCUGUGGUGCAAUGGGUUAACACACUGGCCUGAGAUGCCGGCAUCCCAUAUGGGCGCUGGAUCGAGUCCUGGCUGCUCCU
rnacentral:tRNA from 1 species